ACGCACGCUGGCGGCGUGCUUAACCCCUGCCAGUCGCACGGAAAGGCCCUGCUUUUGUGGGGUGCUCGAGUGGCGAACGGGUGAGUAACACGUGAGUAACCUGCCCUUGACUUUGGGAUAACUUCAGGAAACUGGGGCUAAUACCGGAUAGGAGCUCCUGCUGCAUGGUGGGGGUUGGAAAGUUUCGGCGGUUGGGGAUGGACUCGCGGCUUAUCGGCUUGUUGGUGGGGUAGUGGCUUACCAAGGCUUUGACGGGUAGCCGGCCUGAGAGGGUGACCGGCCACAUUGGGACUGAGAUACGGCCCAGACUCCUACGGGAGGCAGCAGUGGGGAAUAUUGCACAAUGGGCGGAAGCCUGAUGCAGCAACGCCGCGUGCGGGAUGACGGCCUUCGGGUUGUAAACCGCUUUCGCCUGUGACGAAGCGUGAGUGACGGUAAUGGGUAAAGAAGCACCGGCUAACUACGUG
rnacentral:rRNA from 1 species